GACAGAGGGUGCAAACGUUGCUCGGAAUCACUGGGCGUAAAGGGCGUGUAGGCGGGAGAGAAAGUCGGGCGUGAAAUCCCUAGGCUCAACCUAGGAACUGCACUCGAAACUUCUUUUCUUGAGUGCCGGAGAGGAAAGCGGAAUUCCUGGUGUAGAGGUGAAAUUCGUAGAUAUCAGGAGGAACACCAGUGGCGAAGGCGGCUUUCUGGACGGUAACUGACGCUGAGAACGCGGAAAGCGUGGGGAGCAAACACGG
rnacentral:rRNA from 1 species